UGGGGAAUUUUGGACAAUGGGCGCAAGCCUGAUCCAGCCAUGCCGCGUGCGGGAAGAAGGCCUUCGGGUUGUAAACCGCUUUUGUCAGGGAAGAAAUCCUUUGAGCUAAUACCUCGGGGGGAUGACGGUACCUGAAGAAUAAGCACCGGCUAACUACGUGCCAGCAGCCGCGGUAAUACGUAGGUGGCGAGCGUUGUUCGGAUUUAUUGGGCGUAAAGGGUCUGUAGGAGGUUUCUUAAAUUCGAGGUGAAAUCCCGGAGCUCAACCUGGGAACUGCAUUUGUGACUGUAUAGCUAGAGUACGGCAGAGGGGGAUGGAAUUCCGCGUGUAGCAGUGAAAUGCGUAGAUAUGCGGAGGAACACCGAUGGCGAAGGCAAUCCCCUGGGCCUGUACUGACGCUCAUGCACGAAAGCGUGGGGAGCAAACA
rnacentral:rRNA from 1 species